GACAGAGGAUGCAAGCGUUAAUCGGAAUUACUGGGCGUAAGGCGUGCGCAGGCGGUUCGGAAAGAGAGGUGUGAAAUCCCAGGGCUUAACCUUGGAACUGCACUUCUAACUACCGGGCUAGAGUACGUCAGAGGGGGGUAGAAUUCCACGUGUAGCAGUGAAAUGCGUAGAGAUGUGGAGGAAUACCGAUGGCGAAGGCAGCCCCCUGGGAUGAUACUGACGCUCAUGCACGAAAGCGUGGGGAGCAAACAGG
rnacentral:rRNA from 1 species